UUCUCCACUGUUUUUCACAUAUCCCAGCAACUGUCUACAUGCCUAUGUCUCUCUAGAGUUGCACAAGUAUUAUCAUUGACAUACUUACAUGCAUCUAAAAAUACCUUUUCACUGAAAAGAAAGCAGUGGCUGUCCUGCAUCCGAUUGUUGCCUGGGUCACUUCCGGAACCUGAAAGAGAUCCCAGGACCCUGACCCCAAGUCCACGAGCUGACCAACGGGUCUACCUCUUCCAGGCGGAGCAUCCUGGCAGUUUGCACAGAGGAAACAGAACCCAAGUUGCCCUCCGGCCCAGGGGAUGGUAUUGACCCUCAGGUACACAUCAGUCAAUCAUCAAUCAAUCAGAGAAUUUCGCAAAUAUCUACCAUGUGCUCAGAACUGGCAUUUGAGGACGUGGCUCAGGUUUCAGGUUCUUCCAGCCGAUGACGUUAGGGCAAGAAAAGGAUUGGAGGACAGCUGGAGGUGAAGGCAAACAGCGCCAGCCAACGUCACCUGGUGCCGUGACGCGACGUCAGUGAGCUCCGCUUUCUCCCUCUCAGUCUUGGUAGCGAAGCCCACACCUGCUCCCACACCCCAGGCACACAGUGUUGUGCGAGGAAGGGAUUUGGAGCCACUCCUCCCUAGCACAGCCUGCCCAUUGAGCACCUAAGUUGGGCUCUCCCCCAGCCCCAGCCCCCAUCACUGGACAGUCAUGGGAAGUGGCUGCUACCAGGGAGAAGAACCGCAUGACCUUGAGCAAGACAGCUUUCUUCAGUGGAGGGGAGGCAAUUCUCCAAGAGACACCCAUCUGAGAGCUGUCAGCCAACUCCCCCAGCAGGUGGGCGAAUGGGUGCCUCAGUCCUGAAGGGGGGACUCUAGGUGGGCAGCUCAGCACAGAAUCAAU